UAAUUUGUUUGAAAUUCAAAGAACCUGGCGGUACUUUAGUCUAGUUAGAGGAACCUGUUAUAUAAACGAUAAACCACGUAGAAUCUUUCUUGUUCUUGUAUAGCCAGUAUACCUUCAUUGUUAGAUAAUUUUAUAUAUGAAUUAUUGAAAUCGAGAAAAUCAAGUAUAUUAGAUCAAGGUGCUGCUAAUGAGCAAGUAUAAAUGGGUUACAAUAUUUUAAAAGAGGCUGAUUAUAGUGAGAAUUCACUAUGUGAGGAUGGAUUUAAUUGGAACUGUAAAUUUAGUAAGGUAAAGUGCUAAUAGCUCUAAAGUGCGUACAUAUUGCCCGUCGCUUUCAUUAAAUCAGAUGAGAUAA
rnacentral:rRNA from 1 species